GACGAACGCUGGCGGCGUGCUUAACACAUGCAAGUCGAACGGAAAGGCCCUGCUUUUGUGGGGUGCUCGAGUGGCGAACGGGUGAGUAACACGUGAGUAACCUGCCCUUGACUUUGGGAUAACUUCAGGAAACUGGGGCUAAUACCGGAUAGGAGCUCCUGCUGCAUGGUGGGGGUUGGAAAGUUUCGGCGGUUGGGGAUGGACUCGCGGCUUAUCAGCUUGUUGGUGGGGUAGUGGCUUACCAAGGCUUUGACGGGUAGCCGGCCUGAGAGGGUGACCGGCCACAUUGGGACUGAGAUACGGCCCAGACUCCUACGGGAGGCAGCAGUGGGGAAUAUUGCACAAUGGGCGGAAGCCUGAUGCAGCAACGCCGCGUGCGGGAUGACGGCCUUCGGGUUGUAAACCGCUUUCGCCUGUGACGAAGCGUGAGUGACGGUAAUGGGUAAAGAAGCACCGGCUAACUACGUGCCAGCAGCCGCGGUGAUACGUGGGGUGCGAGCGUUGUCCGGAUUUAUUGGGCGUAAAGGGCUCGUAGGUGGUUGAUCGCGUCGGAAGUGUAAUCUUGGGGCUUAACCCUGAGCGUGCUUUCGAUACGGGUUGACUUGAGGAAGGUAGGGGAGAAUGGAAUUCCUGGUGGAGCGGUGGAAUGCGCAGAUAUCAGGAGGAACACCAGUGGCGAAGGCGGUUCUCUGGGCCUUUCCUGACGCUGAGGAGCGAAAGCGUGGGGAGCGAACAGGCUUAGAUACCCUGGUAGUCCACGCUGUAAACGGUGGGUACUAGGUGUGGGGUCCAUUCCACGGGUUCCGUGCCGUAGCUAACGCUUUAAGUACCCCGCCUGGGGAGUACGGCCGCAAGGCUAAAACUCAAAGGAAUUGACGGGGCCCCGCACGAGCGGCGGAGCAUGCGGAUUAAUUCGAUGCAACGCGUAGAACCUUACCUGGGUUUGACAUGGAUCGGGAGUGCUCAGAGAUGGGUGUGCCUCUUUUGGGGUCGGUUCACAGGUGGUGCAUGGCUGUCGUCAGCUCGUGUCGUGAGAUGUUGGGUUAAGUCCCGCAACGAGCGCAACCCUUGUUCACUGUUGCCAGCACGUUAUGGUGGGGACUCAGUGGAGACCGCCGGGGUCAACUCGGAGGAAGGUGGGGAUGACGUCAAGUCAUCAUGCCCCUUAUGUCCAGGGCUUCACGCAUGCUACAAUGGCUGGUACAGAGAGUGGCGAGCCUGUGAGGGUGAGCGAAUCUCGGAAAGCCGGUCUCAGUUCGGAUUGGGGUCUGCAACUCGACCUCAUGAAGUCGGAGUCGCUAGUAAUCGCAGAUCAGCAACGCUGCGGUGAAUACGUUCCCGGGGCU
rnacentral:rRNA from 1 species